GCGUAACACGUAUCCAACCUAGCCCACUGGCCCGGGGACGUAGCUUCGAAGAAAGAUUAAUACCGAUGGUUCGUGAGUCCGCAUGGGCGACACGAGUAAAGAUUCAUCGGCGAUGGAUGGGGGAUGCGUCCGAUUAGCUUGUUGGCGGGGUAACGGCCCACCAAGGCGACGAUCGGUAGGGGCUCUGAGAGGAGGGUCCCCCCACACUGGAACUGAGACACGGUCCAGACUCCUACGGGAGGCAGCAGUGAGGAAUAUUGGUCAAUGGGCGAGAGCCUGAACCAGCCAAGUAGCGUGAGGGAUGACUGCCCUAUGGGUUGUAAACCUCUUUUGUUUGGGAAUAAAGGGCCCCACGGGUGGGGCUUUGCAUGUACCUUACGAAUAAGCAUCGGCUAAUUCCGUGCCAGCAGCUGC
rnacentral:rRNA from 1 species